UACGUAGGGUGCGAGCGUUAAUCGGAAUUACUGGGCGUAAAGCGUGCGCAGGCGGUUUUGUAAGUCUGUCGUGAAAGCCCCGGGCUCAACCUGGGAAUUGCGAUGGAGACUGCAAGGCUUGAAUCUGGCAGAGGGGGGUAGAAUUCCACGUGUAGCAGUGAAAUGCGUAGAGAUGUGGAGGAACACCGAUGGCGAAGGCAGCCCCCUGGGGUCAAGAUUGACGCUCAUGCACGAAAGCGUGGGGAGCAAACAGG
rnacentral:rRNA from 1 species